rnacentral:rRNA from 1 species
ACGCUGGCGGCGUGCCUAAUACAUGCAAGUCGAACGAAACUUUCUUACACCGAAUGCUUGCAUUCACCGUAAGAAGUUGAGUGGCGGACGGGUGAGUAACACGUGGGUAACCUGCCUAAAAGAAGGGGAUAACACUUGGAAACAGGUGCUAAUACCGUAUAUCUCUAAGGAUCGCAUGAUCCUUAGAUGAAAGAUGGUUCUGCUAUCGCUUUUAGAUGGACCCGCGGCGUAUUAACUAGUUGGUGGGGUAACGGCCUACCAAGGUGAUGAUACGUAGCCGAACUGAGAGGUUGAUCGGCCACAUUGGGACUGAGACACGGCCCAAACUCCUACGGGAGGCAGCAGUAGGGAAUCUUCCACAAUGGACGCAAGUCUGAUGGAGCAACGCCGCGUGAGUGAAGAAGGUCUUCGGAUCGUAAAACUCUGUUGUUAGAGAAGAACACGAGUGAGAGUAACUGUUCAUUCGAUGACGGUAUCUAACCAGCAAGUCACGGCUAACUACGUGCCAGCAGCCGCGGUAAUACGUAGGUGGCAAGCGUUGUCCGGAUUUAUUGGGCGUAAAGGGAACGCAGGCGGUCUUUUAAGUCUGAUGUGAAAGCCUUCGGCUUAACCGGAGUAGUGCAUUGGAAACUGGAAGACUUGAGUGCAGAAGAGGAGAGUGGAACUCCAUGUGUAGCGGUGAAAUGCGUAGAUAUAUGGAAGAACACCAGUGGCGAAAGCGGCUCUCUGGUCUGUAACUGACGCUGAGGUUCGAAAGCGUGGGUAGCAACAGGAUA